GAUGAAGAACGCAGCGAAAUGCGAUAAGUAAUGUGAAUUGCAGAAUUCAGUGAAUCAUCGAAUCUUUGAACGCACAUUGCGCCCCUUGGUAUUCCGAGGGGCAUGCCUGUUCGAGCGUCAUUAUAACCCCUCAAGCUCAGCUUGGUGUUGGGGCCUGCUGCACUGGCAGCCCUUAAAAUCAGUGGCGGCGCCAUCUGGCUCUAAGCGUAGUAAUUCUUCUCACUAUGGAGUCCUGGUGGAUGCUUGCCAUCAACCCCCAAUUUUUCUAUGGUUGACCUCGGAUCAGGUAGGGAUACCCGCUGAACUUAAGCAUAUCAAUAAGCGGAGGA
rnacentral:misc_RNA from 1 species